rnacentral:rRNA from 1 species
GAUGAACGCUGGCGGCGUGCCUAAUACAUGCAAGUAGAACGCUGAAGGAGGAGCUUGCUCUUCUGGAUGAGUUGCGAACGGGUGAGUAACGCGUAGGCAACCUGCCUGGUAGCGGGGGAUAACUAUUGGAAACGAUAGCUAAUACCGCAUGACAACAGUUAUUGCAUGAUAACUGUUUAAAAGGGGCAACUGCUCCACUACCAGAUGGACCUGCGUUGUAUUAGCUAGUUGGUGAGGUAACGGCUCACCAAGGCGACGAUACAUAGCCGACCUGAGAGGGUGAUCGGCCACACUGGGACUGAGACACGGCCCAGACUCCUACGGGAGGCAGCAGUAGGGAAUCUUCGGCAAGGGACGGAAGUCUGACCGAGCAACGCCGCGUGAGUGAAGAAGGUUUUCGGAUCGUAAAGCUCUGUUGUAAGAGAAGAACGAGUGUGAGAGUGGAAAGUUCACACUGUGACGGUAUCUUACCAGAAAGGGACGGCUAACUACGUG